rnacentral:rRNA from 1 species
CCUGGUUGAUCUUUCCAGUAGUCAUAUGCUUGUCUCAAAGAUUAGGCCAUGCAUGCCUAAGUAUGAACUAAUUCAGACUGUGAAACUGCGGAUGGCUCAUUAAAACAGUUAUAGGUUUUUUGAUGGUACCGUACUACUCAGAAAACCGUAUUAAUUAUAGAGCUAAUACAUGCACCAAGUCCUGACUCUUUGGAAGGGAUGCGUUUUUUAGAUAAAAGGCCGAUGCGGGCUUGCCCACUUCUCUAAUGAAUCAUGAUAACUCGACGGAUCGCACAACCCUUGUGUUGGCGAUGCUUCAUUCAAAUUUCUACCCUAUCAACUUUUGAUGGUAGGAUAGAGGCCUACCAUGGUGGUGAUGGGCGAUGAAGAAUUAGGGUUCGAUUCCAAAGAGGAAGCUUGAGAAAUGACAACCACAUCUAAGGAAGGCAGCAAGCGUGCAAAUUACCCAAUCCUGACAUGGGGAGGUAGUGAAAAUAAGUAACAAUACUGGGCUCAUUGAGUCUGGUAAUUGGAAUGAGUACAAUAUAAACCCCUUAACGAGGACCCAUUCGAGCGGAAUUCUGGUGCCAGCAGCCGCGGUAAUUCCAGCUCCAAUAGCAUAUAUUUAAGUUGUUGCAGUUAAAAAUCUUGUAGUUGGAUCUUGGAUCGUAAAGGUCAGUUUGCCUACUCGGUGUGAACCUACCCUUCCGUCCAUUUUUGUUGGUGGUGUGCUCCUGGCCUUAAUUAGCUAGGUGGCGGCUCUGGUGUUGUUACUUUGAAAAAAUUAGAGUGCUCAAGUAAAGCUUAUGCUUUGAAUACAUUAGCAUGGAAUAACGUGAUAGGAGUCUGGUCCUAUUGUGUUGGCCUUCGGGACCACAGUAAUGAUUAAUAGGGAUUGUCGGGGGCAUUCGUAUUUCAUUGUCAGAGGUGAAAUUCUUGGAUUUAUGAAAGACGGACCACUGGGAAAUCAUUUUCCAAGGACGUUUCCAUUAAUCAAGAAUGAAAGUUGGGGGCUCGAAGACGAUAAAAUAUCGUCCUAGUCUCAACCAUAAACGAUACCGACCAAGGAUUGGCAGAUGUUGCUCUAAGGAGUUCACCAACACCUUCUAAGAAAUCAGAGUGUUUGGGUUUCAGGGGGAGUAUGGUCACAAGGCUGAAACUUAAAGGAAUUGAUGGAAGGGCACCACUAGGAGUGGAGCCUGUGGCUUAAUUUGACUCAACAUGAGGAAACUUACCAAGUCCAGACAUAGUAAGGAUUGACAGAUUGAUAGCUCUUUCUUGAUUCUAUGGGUGGUGGUGCAUGGUCGUUCUUAGUUGGUGGAGCGGUUUAUCUGGUUAAUUCCGAUAAUGAACAAGACCUCAACCUGCUAACUAGCUACAUGGAAGUUCCCCUUCACGGCCAACUUCUUAGAGGGAUUAUGGCCAUUUAUGCCAUGGAAGUUUGAGGAAAUAAUAGGUCUGUAAUGCCCUUAGACGUUCUCGGUUGCACGCGUGCUACACUGAUGCAGCCAACGAGUUUUUCUUCCUGGUUCGAGAGGAUCGGGAAAUCUUCUCAAAUUGCAUCGUGAUGGGGAUAAACCAUUGCAAUUAUUCGUCUUCAAUGAGAAAUUCCUAGUAAGGGCAUGUCAUCAACUCAUGUUGACUACGUCCCUACCCUUUGUACACACUACCCGUCGCUCCUACCGAUUGAAUGAUCCGGUGAAGUGUUUGGAUUGCGUCGACGAUGGUGGUUCGCCGUCGUCGACGUCGUGAGAAGUUCAUUGAAGCUUAUCAUUUAGAGGAAGGAGAAGUCGUAACAAGGUUACCAUAGGUGAACCUACGAUAG